rfam:Medicago truncatula strain A17 chromosome 7, whole genome shotgun sequence.
UCCGCUUUUUGAUGUUGGCUUGUCUCAAUCAAAUCAAAGUUCUUGAAAUUUGAGUUCUUUAGUCUGAUUGAGUCGUGCCAAUAUCAUAUUAAGCGAU